AGUGAACGCUGGCGGUAGGCCUAACACAUGCAAGUCGAACGGCAGCACAGUAAGAGCUUGCUCUUACGGGUGGCGAGUGGCGGACGGGUGAGGAAUACAUCGGAAUCUACUUUUUCGUGGGGGAUAACGUAGGGAAACUUACGCUAAUACCGCAUACGACCUACGGGUGAAAGCAGGGGAUCUUCGGACCUUGCGCGAUUGAAUGAGCCGAUGUCGGAUUAGCUAGUUGGCGGGGUAAAGGCCCACCAAGGCGACGAUCCGUAGCUGGUCUGAGAGGAUGAUCGCCCACACUGGAACGGAGACACGGUCCAGAGUCCUACGGGAGGCAGCAGUGGGGAAUAUUGGACAAUGGGCGCAAGCCUGAUCCAGCCAUACCGCGUGGGUGAAGAAGGCCUUCGGGUUGGAAAGCCCUUUUGUGGGGAAAGAAAAGCAGCAGGUUAAUACCCCGCUGUUCUGACGGUACCCAAAGAAUAAGCACCGGCUAACUUCGUG
rnacentral:rRNA from 1 species